UACGAAGGGGGCUAGCGUUGCUCGGAAUCACUGGGCGUAAAGGGUUCGUAGGUGGCCAAUUAAGUCAGACGUGAAAUCCCUCAGCUUAACUGGGGAACUGCGUCUGAGACUGGAUGGCUUGAGUGCAGGAGAGGAACGCGGAAUUCCAGGUGUAGCGGUGAAAUGCGUAGAUAUCUGGAGGAACACCGGUGGCGAAGGCGGCGUUCUGGACUGCAACUGACACUGAGGAACGAAAGCCAGGGGAGCAAACGGGG
rnacentral:rRNA from 1 species